rnacentral:misc_RNA from 1 species
AAAGUCGUAACAAGGUCUCCGUAGGUGAACCUGCGGAGGGAUCAUUACCGAGUGAGGGCCCCCGGCCCGACCUCCAACCCCUUUGUAAACCGACCCUGUUGCCUCGGGGGGACUUCCGGCGUCUUUCGGGGCACCGGGGCCCCCCGGUGGACCCCCCCAACUCUGCGUCUUUGCGUCUGAGUCUUGAAUGAUAAAAUCAAUGAAAA